rnacentral:rRNA from 1 species
GAUGAACGCUGGCGGCGUGCCUAAUACAUGCGAGUCGAGCGAACGGACGAGAAGCUUGCUUCUCUGAUGUUAGCGGCGGACGGGUGAGUAACACGUGGAUAACCUACCUAUAAGACUGGGAUAACUUCGGGAAACCGUAGCUAAUACCGGAUAAUAUUUUGAACCGCAUGGUUCAAAAGUGAAAGACGGUCUUGCUGUCACUUAUAGAUGGAUCCGCGCUGCAUUAGCUAGUUGGUAAGGUAACGGCUUACCAAGGCAACGAUGCAUAGCCGACCUGAGAGGGUGAUCGGCCACACUGGAACUGAGACACGGUCCAGACUCCUACGGGAGGCAGCAGUAGGGAAUCUUCCGCAAUGGGCGAAAGCCUGACGGGGCAACGCCGCGUGAGUGAUGAAGGUCUUCGGAUCGUAAAACUCUGUUAUUAGGGAAGAACAUAUGUGUAAGUAACUGUGCACAUCUUGACGGUACCUAAUCAGAAAGCCACGGCUAACUACGUG